rnacentral:rRNA from 1 species
CCUACGGGUGGCAGCAGUGAGGAAUAUUGGUCAAUGGAGGCAACUCUGACCCAGCCAUGCCGCGUGAGUGAAGAAGGUUUUCGGAUUGUAAAGCUCUUUCGGAUGUGACGAUGAUGACGGUAGCAUCUAAAGAAGCCCCGGCUAACUCCGUGCCAGCAGCCGCGGUAAUACGGAGGAUGCGAGCGUUAUCCGGAUUUAUUGGGUUUAAAGGGUGCGCAGGCGGAAGAUCAAGUCAGCGGGAAAAUUGAGAGGCUAAACCUCAUCGAGCAGUUGAAACUGGUUGUGUUGAGUGAGCGAGAGGUAUGCGGAAUGCGUGGUGUAGCGGUGAAAUGCAUAGAUAUCACGAAGAACUCCGAUUGCGAAGGCAGCAUACCGGCGCUCAACUGACGCUCAUGCACGAAAGUGUGGGUAUCGAACAGGAUUAGAUACCCUGGUAGUC